rnacentral:rRNA from 1 species
AUUGAACGCUGGCGGCAUGCCUUACACAUGCAAGUCGAACGGCAGCACGGGAGCAAUCCUGGUGGCGAGUGGCGAACGGGUGAGUAAUACAUCGGAACGUGCCCAAUCGUGGGGGAUAACGCAGCGAAAGCUGUGCUAAUACCGCAUACGAUCUACGGAUGAAAGCAGGGGAUCGCAAAACCUUGCGCGAAUGGAGCGGCCGAUGGCAGAUUAGGUAGUUGGUGAGGUAAAGGCUCACCAAGCCGUCGAUCUGUAGCUGGUCUGAGAGGACGACCAGCCACACUGGGACUGAGACACGGCCCAGACUCCUACGGGAGGCAGCAGUGGGGAAUUUUGGACAAUGGGCGAAAGCCUGAUCCAGCCAUGCCGCGUGCAGGAUGAAGGCCUUCGGGUUGUAAACUGCUUUUGUACGGAACGAAACGGCCUUUUCUAAUAAAGAGGGCUAAUGACGGUACCGUAAGAAUAAGCACCGGCUAACUACGUGCCAGCAGCCGCGGUAAUACGUAGGGUGCAAGCGUUAAUCGGAAUUACUGGGCGUAAAGCGUGCGCAGGCGGUUAUGUAAGACAGUUGUGAAAUCCCCGGGCUCAACCUGGGAACUGCAUCUGUGACUGCAUAGCUAGAGUACGGUAGAGGGGGAUGGAAUUCCGCGUGUAGCAGUGAAAUGCGUAGAUAUGCGGAGGAACACCGAUGGCGAAGGCAAUCCCCUGGACCUGUACUGACGCUCAUGCACGAAAGCGUGGGGAGCAAACAGG